rnacentral:rRNA from 1 species
GAUGAACGCUGGCGGCGUGCCUAAUACAUGCAAGUCGAGCGAACAGACGAGGAGCUUGCUCCUUUGACGUUAGCGGCGGACGGGUGAGUAACACGUGGGUAACCUACCUAUAAGACUGGGAUAACUUCGGGAAACCGGAGCUAAUACCGGAUAAUAUUUCGAACCGCAUGGUUCGAUAGUGAAAGAUGGCUUUGCUAUCACUUAUAGAUGGACCUGCGCCGUAUUAGCUAGUUGGUAAGGUAACGGCUUACCAAGGCAACGAUACGUAGCCGACCUGAGAGGGUGAUCGGCCACACUGGAACUGAGACACGGUCCAGACUCCUACGGGAGGCAGCAGUAGGGAAUCUUCCGCAAUGGGCGAAAGCCUGACGGAGCAAAGCCGCGUGAGUGAUGAAGGUCUUCGGAUCGUAAAACUCUGUUAUUAGGGAAGAACAAACGUGUAAGUAACUGUGCACGUCUUGACGAUACCUAAUCAGAAAGCCACGGCUAACUACGUGCCAGCAGCCGCGGUAAUACGUAGGUGGCAAGCGUUAUCCGGAAUUAUUGGGCGUAAAGCGCGCGUAGGCGGUUUUUUAAGUCUGAUGUGAAAGCCCACGGCUCAACCGUGGAGGGUCAUUGGAAACUGGAAAACUUGAGUGCAGAAGAGGAAAGUGGAAUUCCAUGUGUAGCGGUGAAAUGCGCAGAGAUAUGGAGGAACACCAGUGGCGAAGGCGACUUUCUGGUCUGUAACUGACGCUGAUGUGCGAAAGCGUGGGGAUCAAACAGGAUUAGAUACCCUGGUAGUCCACGCCGUAAACGAUGAGUGCUAAGUGUUAGGGGGUUUCCGCCCCUUAGUGCUGCAGCUAACGCAUUAAGCACUCCGCCUGGGGAGUACGACCGCAAGGUUGAAACUCAAAGGAAUUGACGGGGACCCGCACAAGCGGUGGAGCAUGUGGUUUAAUUCGAAGCAACGCGAAGAACCUUACCAAAUCUUGACAUCCUUUGACCCUUCUAGAGAUAGAAGUUUCCCCUUCGGGGGACAAAGUGACAGGUGGUGCAUGGUUGUCGUCAGCUCGUGUCGUGAGAUGUUGGGUUAAGUCCCGCAACGAGCGCAACCCUUAAGCUUAGUUGCCAUCAUUAAGUUGGGCACUCUAAGUUGACUGCCGGUGACAAACCGGAGGAAGGUGGGGAUGACGUCAAAUCAUCAUGCCCCUUAUGAUUUGGGCUACACACGUGCUACAAUGGACAAUACAAAGGGCAGCGAAACCGCGAGGUCAAGCAAAUCCCAUAAAGUUGUUCUCAGUUCGGAUUGUAGUCUGCAACUCGACUACAUGAAGCUGGAAUCGCUAGUAAUCGUAGAUCAGCAUGCUACGGUGAAUACGUUCCCGGGUCU